UACGGAGGAUCCAAGCGUUAUCCGGAUUUAUUGGGUUUAAAGGGUGCGUAGGUGGAAGAAUAAGUCAGGGGUGAAAGCCGGCAGCUUAACUGUCGAAUUGCCUUUGAUACUGUUUUUCUUGAGUAUGGUUGAAGUGGGCGGAAUGUGACAUGUAGCGGUGAAAUGCGUAGAUAUGUCCCAGAACACCGAUUGCGAAGGCAGCUCACUAAGCCAUCACUGACACUGAUGCACGAAAGCGUGGGGAGCAAACAGG
rnacentral:rRNA from 1 species